AUUGAACGCUGGCGGCAUGCCUUACACAUGCAAGUCGAACGGUAACAGGUUAAGCUGACGAGUGGCGAACGGGUGAGUAAUAUAUCGGAACGUGCCCAGUCGUGGGGGAUAACGUAGCGAAAGCUACGCUAAUACCGCAUACGAUCUACGGAUGAAAACGGGGGAUCGCAAGACCUCGCGCGAUUGGAGCGGCCGAUAUCAGAUUAGGUUGUUGGUGAGGUAAAAGCUCACCAAGCCUGCGAUCUGUAGCUGGUCUGAGAGGACGACCAGCCACACUGGAACUGAGACACGGUCCAGACUCCUACGGGAGGCAGCAGUGGGGAAUUUUGGACAAUGGACGCAAGUCUGAUCCAGCAAUGCCGCGUGCAGGACGAAGGCCUUCGGGUUGUAAACUGCUUUUGUACGGAACGAAACGGUGAGCUCUAGUACAGUUUGCUAAUGACGGUACCGUAAGAAUAAGCACCGGCUAACUACGUGCCAGCCGCCGCCGUAACAC
rnacentral:rRNA from 1 species